rnacentral:rRNA from 1 species
AGCGAACGCUGGCGGCAGGCCUAACACAUGCAAGUCGAACGAACUCUUCGGAGUUAGUGGCGGACGGGCGAGUAACACGUGGGAACGUGCCUUUAGGUUCGGAAUAACUCAGGGAAACUUGUGCUAAUACCGAAUGUGCCCUUCGGGGGAAAGAUUUAUCGCCUUUAGAGCGGCCCGCGUCUGAUUAGCUUGUUGGUGGGGUAAUGGCCCACCAAGGCGACGAUCAGUAGCUGGUCUGAGAGGAUGACCAGCCACAUUGGGACUGAGACACGGCCCAAACUCCUACGGGAGGCAGCAGUGGGGAAUCUUGCGCAAUGGGCGAAAGCCUGACGCAGCCAUGCCGCGUGGAUGAUGAAGGUCUUAGGAUUGUAAAAUCCUUUCACCGGUGAAGAUAAUGACUGUAGCCGGAGAAGAAGCCCCGGCUAACUUCGUGCCAGCCGCCGCGGUAAAAC